rnacentral:rRNA from 1 species
GUGGGUAACCUGCCCAUGUGCCCGGGAUAACUUCUGGAAACGGAUGCUAAAACCGGAUAGGUAGCAGACAAGCAUUUGACUGCUAUUAAAGUGGCUAAGGCCAUGAACAUGGAUGGACCUGCGGUGCAUUAGCUAGUUGGUGAGGUAACGGCCCACCAAGGCGACGAUGCAUAGCCGGCCUGAGAGGGCGGACGGCCACAUUGGGACUGAGACACGGCCCAGACUCCUACGGGAGGCAGCAUG